UCUGGGGGUCUGGGUCGGGGUCCCGCUAGGGGGUCCUGGGGGCCCUGGACUCAACAGGGCACAACGGGCUUCUGCCUGUGCAUCUCUCACUGGAGCCGGGGACAAACUGCGGCUUUGCCAUUGGCAGGAUCAUUUUGUUUCUGUUGGUUUUGAUGUAUGCGUUAAGUAUUUAAAAAUUUUACCUAAACAAGACAUGUAUUUCAUUUACACUGAGUUAUGUCUUGUUCAUAAAUUGAGACUGUUGAAAGAUAAAAAGAAUGAUCUAAGGAUGAAAAAACCCAUCUAAAUGAAGACAACUCCUACAUUUUUGUUUCUUUAUCUCUGAAACACAUCAGCGCCAGUAAGGAAUAAAAAUACAGCACUUGGGAACAGAAAACAGGACCACAUUGAAAUGGUACUGGAAGAUGGACAUUUGCUUUGUCUCUUUUUCCUAUACCUAAUAAGGUAAAAGAAGAGGUCAGUGGAUCUGCUUGUAGAUAUUAUGAAUCUGAAUACACAUGCUGUCCUAGAACUAAAAGACAAAUGCACACUGUUAUAGCCUAAUCUUCUAGACUGAUAGGCAAUUGUGGACUGAUGGCAGAUGCUCCAUAAUCAAAGUUGCAGGACUCCACCACAGAACUGUCACUGGGAUCCUGAAAAUUGAAAAAUAAGCAAAUCAGCUUAAUAAUAUGGCUUUCCCUUGGUGCCUCAUCUCCUGAAGUUCUCUCCCCACCUUCUUCCUGUCUGAAGAAACUGAAACUGGAAGGCUUCAUAACCCUGCCGUUCUCAUAGAGCCAUUUUUACCUUCCUACCAGCAGGCAGUACAGUGACUGCUUGAAGUUUAAAACACUUUGUCAUUGUCCCUUAAAAAUGGAAAUAGUGCUGCUGCUUCAUUGCUGGGCAUUCCGUAAUUUAUGGCCACUGAGAAUGCAAAACGAUUGGUGUGUCUGGGUGACAGUCAGGAGCUAUGGAAAGGAUGAAGUGUUCCACAUAUUUCCUCUCCCCAUAAAGUUGGCAAAUAAAUUCAUUACUAGUUUCAGCCUGUGAACAUGGCCAUUAUCAGUGGAUUGAGCUAUUUUUUAAAGAUUUAUGGCUGAUGUCAGUAACCUGGUUUUCCCUAAUUUGGCAAGACCCUCCUAGAAAACAGAUGUUGUUACUAGGAAAGUCAAAGCAAGAUUAUCACUUGACAAAUUGAGGCUAGAUCCUCUGCUGCAAAUCAUUAAGGUUCCUUUGAACUCAAUGGAUCUGAUUUACACCAGCUGAGGGCUUGGUUGGACAGGAAAUAAAAAUACAAAAAUGGAGGCAAUGCGAGCAGCUUAUUACAGCUCUUUUAGACAGGCAGUUGAUUGUUAAAACUAAAGAAGAAAAAACAUUUGGACCUUGAGAAUGUAGAGUACAUAGAAGAUUUUUCUUGGAAAAAGACAACACAGCUGCAGGUCACAGCAAGUUGAAACCAAAAUAAGAAAGAUCAAGAGGUUCAGGCAAGAAAACUGGCCAACAACUCCACAGACCUCUGUAUAAUAGAAAACUGAAUGAAGCCAUGUAGUUUACUCCUCUACAGUCAUAUGGCCUCCUUCUACACUCAAAAUACAUUGUGAAUUCAUCACAACCCAUCAUAGCGUUUGCUUUUGAAUGCAAGAAGGCAGUUACUGUAAAGGAUACAGAUGGCAAUUGUUUCUUUACAAAACUGGAAGCUUCCUUUGGCCGUCUUAUAGAAUUUAAAUUGCUGUUACUUAUUAAUAUGAUUGACAAGUACUGUGUGGUUAUGUUCUAAUACAGUUAACAUUGUACAAAAUAAAUCAGUGCCUUGU